rnacentral:rRNA from 1 species
UACGGGGGGAGCAAGCGUUGUUCGGAUUUACUGGGCGUAAAGGGCGCGUAGGCGGCGCAACAAGUCACUUGUGAAAUCUCCGGGCUUAACCCGGAGCGGUCAAGUGAUACUGUCGUGCUAGAGUGCGGAAGGGGCUACUGGAAUUCUCGGUGUAGCGGUGAAAUGCGUAGAUAUCGAGAGGAACACCUGCGGCGAAGGCGGGUAGCUGGGACGGUACUGACGCUGGAGGCGCGAAAGCGUGGGGAGCGAACAGG